rnacentral:rRNA from 1 species
AAAAUAAAAAGGUAAUACCCUUGGAGAAACCCAUAUUCUUUGACGGCCUUUUUUCUUAUUAAAGGAACUUGUUAUUUGAUCGAAACUACACGUUAACUUUUUCUCCUCUUUUAAAGCUUUUAUACCGUCGUCUCAAGAGCCUACCUCAAAGUGUACUCUAAAUUUGUUGACAAAAUAAAUCAGAUCAAGGUGAAGCCCAUAAAGAAGAACAUGAUGAGUUAUUUAUAAAAAUAAUUUAUAGAUUUUCUAUUUUUUAAAAACUAAAUGAAUUAAGAUUUAAAAGUAUUGUUAAGUUAACAACUUAUAAAGAGUGAGUAAAAAAAGG